GGUCCCGUAGCUCAGCUGGUUAGAGCGUCGUACUAAUAAUUCUCUUAAAAGGAAUGAUUAAGUGAUGCGAAGGUCGCGAGUUCGAUCCUCUCCGGGACCA
rnacentral:tRNA from 1 species